ensembl:lncRNA
UUUUUUUUUUUUUUUUUUUGGCCAUGCCCAUGGCAUGUAGAAAUUCCUGGGCCAGGGAUUGACCCCACACCACAGCUGUAACCAGAGCCACAGCAGUGACAACACUGGAUCCUUAACCUGAUGAGCCACAAGGGAGCUCCAAUGUUUCAUAUUUUUUAAAUUUCUGCUUGUCAUAAAUAUUUGGGAAGUAGUUGUAACAGGGCUGGAUAUUUAAGAGUCGAAGCUACAUCGUCUAGAUGGUGAAAACUGGGUUCACCAUUUGUUGGUAAUGUGAUGGGAAAUUCAUAUUAGUUUUCACAGUUGCUUCAUUUGCCCUGGUGCAAACACAUCUUUCCAGAUACCUAUGUAGCACAAUUUAAACAAUAUAGGAUCAUGUCUUUGUUACAUUUACUAUAGUUCAUAGAUCCUAAAAUAUUCUGAUGCUAAAAUGUAUAUUUUCAUCAUCUUCAAAUAAUGGAUUUCUCCCCCAAAAGAGGAGAAGCUGAGACUAAGUGACAGUAGAGUGUGUACUUCCUAGAAAAUGGAAGUGGUCCAAUUAGUGGUCAGUCUGUGUGAACAUUAUCCGCAAGAGUAGUGCACACCUACUACUAUGCUUCUCAUAGGAAAUGAGUGAGCGAUGAACCAAUAGAGAUAAUUUGAAUUUGAAGACAGUGUAAAUCACUUCAAGCAAGGGAGAAAUGCUUCCUUCCUGAGUAACAUAUUUUGUAGGGUGGGUAAGUUUUCAAGCAUUGGAACAGGAUAAGAAAUAACUAGAGACAGAGAAACAUAUCUUUGGCUGCUGGAAAUUUUUCAUUGGAACAUGAUUAAGAGAUGAAGUAGAUGCACAGAUGCUUUUAUGUGAACUAGACUCUUGGGACUUAAGGUCAGAUCAAGAGGUUUAGAUUAAAUACAGGAGAUAGUAAGAUAGCAUAUUUGAAUAGCAGAGUGAUAGAUCUAGAUAUAAAAUUCAGGAGAAUUAAAAUUAUCCUGUCAACAGAUGCAAAAUGAUUUAGGGACAGCAGAAAUAAUGGAGUUUGGGAUAAAACUGUCACAUUCAGACUACCUAUUAAAAUAUACUUUAAAAUUGUUCUUUUAUUCAUUUGAUAAAUUUUUAUUGAGGACCUCUGAUCUUGCAGGCAAAACAGAAUAUCAAAUUUGUUUUCAUGUCAUUUGCUAGUGUAUGGGCAUUAUCUUGAAAAUAAAAAUAAUAGUCCAUAUCUUGACCCCUAAAUAUCAUACUUCACUGGCGUUCCCGUUGUGGCGCAGCAGAAAUGAAUCUGACUAGGAACCAUGAGGAUGUAGGUUCCAUCCCUUGCCUUGCUCAGUGGGUUGAGGAUCUGGCGUUGCUGUGAGCUGUGGUGUAGGUCGCAGACACAGCUUGGAUCUGGCAUUGCUGUGGCUCUGGCGUAGGUCAGCAGCUGCAGCUCAGAUUAGACCCCUAGCUUGGGAACCUCCAUAUGCCAUGGGUGCGGCCUAAAAAGAUGAAAAAUAAAUAAAUAAAUAAAUAAAUAAAUAAUCAUAUUUCACUGGCUAGGACAAGGGCUCAUGGGAGAAAUGGUUGGUUCUAGAACCAGAGAAGAGAAAAAACAAGACGUUCCUAGAACAUCUAUUAGUGACAGAAAGUAAGGAGGUUCCUAAGGAAUGAUGGGACAUAUCAAAAGGACACAGGGAUCAACUUUAAAUGGCUCCUCUUGAACAAAUCUAGAAAAAUUGAAACAUCAAAAUAAUGAUAGCAAAGGAUUAUAUCCCUUGAAUAAAGAAUCAAGGGGGGAGUUCUCAAGUGGCUCAGUGGUUAGCAAACCUGACCAGCAUCCAUGAGGAUAUGGGUUCAAUCCCUGGCCUUGCUCAGUGGAUUAAGGAUCCAGCGUUGCCGUGAACUGUGGUGUAGGUUGCAGAUGCAGCUCAGAUCCUGCAUUGGUAUGGCUGUGGUGUAGGCCAGCGGCUAUAGGUCCAAUUGGACCCCUAGCCUGGGAACCUCCAUAUGCCACGGGUGCAGCCCUAAAAAGACAAAAAGACCAAAAAAAGAAAAAAAGAAUCAAUGGGACUCUCUUGAUAUAAAUAAAAUACAUAUACAUAUAGAGGAACAAUGGAAGUUCUUCCUUAUAGUAGAAAGCCACCAAAUGAAUGUCUAAGGGAAGAUGGAAUUAAAAAUUAUGUCAACCAUCAUAAUAAUAAUUGCUUCAGGCAAAGCAUAUCAAAAAUGCUAAGGCGUUUCCUUGUGGCACAACAGGUUAAGGAUCCAGCAUUGUCACUGCAGCAGUUUGGGUCAUUGCUGUGGGGUGGGUUUGAGUCCUGGCCCAGGAAAAAAAGAUGCCAAAGUUAGCAGGUACAUUUUGAAGGAAAAUAUGGUAUCUGUAUAGAUACACAGUAUUUCCACAUGGUAAUGUACAAAGNNNNNNNNNNNNNNNNNNNNNNNNNNNNNNNNNNNNNNNNNGGGAAAGGUGAUAGACAACCAAGGGACUAGGCACUAGUAAUAACAGUAGUUCCUUCCUUUAUAAAAUUAAAGUUUAAAAAAAUAUAUAAUUUCAUCCCAUGGCAUCACCAGAAACCUCAGACCUCGCAACAUAAUACAUUCUGGGAAGAAACUGCAGUGGUGGUAGGAUACUGUGGACUGACUCUAAAACAUCUAUCAGUCUCCUAUUACUGCAGAGGCUAGAAAACUGAAAAUCACUUUAUCCAGAUGCCCUUGAAGCUAAGAUUCUGCAUACGUUUAUGUACAUGUGCACAAGCUUGAAACCUGAAUUUAAAUUGGCUUAAGUGGGGAGAAAGGUCAGGGGUGAGGCAUUUAUUCUGCUGGAGCGGAUCACCGCAGAGCAGAGAGGCUAUGGAAUUGGCUGUUGCAUCAGCUUCUUGAUUUAAUGGGAAGAUUCCUGAUCAGGAUGGAAG